AUUAAACCUUGCCGUUUCUCCCACUAAUCGUUUCUCUCAGAAACCAUGAUUCCAUCUCAAGCUUCGCACCAUUCCUCAAUCUAUAAAGAUUUUCUUCCUCCAAUCUCAAUUGUGAACCAUCAUUUCCUUCUUGAAUCUCAACUGUAAACCAUUUUCUUUUCUUUUAUUUCUUAUCUUUUAGGGUUCUAAUCAACUGUUCUUCUAUUUCGUCUUGUAACCAAAGAAGAAAUCAAACCCACCCCCUUUUAUUUCAUCAUCAGUAGUAUACCGAAGAAGAGUCAGUGAAGAUUUUAUGGUUAGAAGCAUGAAUUAUCGGUGAAUUUGUUUGUGUGUUUUGGGUAAUUCUCAGUAUUACAUUUACAGAAGCAGCUAAUGCCAGACUGGAGCAACGGCUAUGUGGGGGAAGGGACUUAGGGACAAGAAGCUGGUGGAGAAAUUGUAUGCUGAGCAGAACUAGACAAUGAAAACUAGGCCCGUUGUUCCUGGCUUGUUCUGAUUAGAGAAGAGGCUGGAAUAUGAUGGGAGGUGGAAUUUCAGAUGCAAGGAAUGACUGGGGCUUCACUACUCUCCCUGAAGCAGAGGAAGAGGCAAAAGCAGUUGGUCAGUUGUUGUUACGAAGGUGACGAAAGGUUGCUUAGGGGGAGAAUUUAUGCCCAGUGAUACGCUUGCAAAACACCUAUUUUAUUCUUAAGCUUGGAAUGAUUGUUUUGCCGCAGGUGCUGAUGGCAAGAAAGGUGGUGCUGGGCAUCAAGCAACUCCUUACCCCCAAGGGAGGAAAAGACCCCUGCAAGAGGAGGCAACAUGUCAAACAAAUCUCCAAAAUCUACUGGUUUAUCAUUUUGCUGUGGGUACAUUAUUCUGGUGGUGACUGCACGAAAGAGGUGGUGUUGGGCAUCAAGCGACCCCUGCAAGUGGAGGCAACAAGUCAAAUCUACAGGGUCAGUUUCGUGCAAUUCUUGUAACAAGUAAACAUAUCUCACCUUUGUUUUAUGUGGAUUAUUUCAUAGAACCGCAACCACUGGGUAGUACUCCUUUAGUCUGUAACUUGAGAUACUUUAUAGUACAAGUCGUGCUGGUACUUUCAUCAAACAAAAUUCCCAGAUUUGGAUCUUGAACCACUGUAGUUUGUUAAA